UCUUUCUGCUCUAAACUGGGAAGCAGGAUGGCUCGCAAAAGGCAAAUGCCACCUGACUUUUCUGGGCUGCCAUCUGCUCCGUGCCCUGCAGUCGGGCAGGACCGAAGUUAAGCUCACCUCAGAAGCCUAGAAAGUGUCUCAAGCGCAUCACCCUUAAAGCCCCUGCACUCGAGGAUGAUCUGGGGGCUGUGGGUGCACAAGGUGGCCACCAAGGGCUCCUGUGCUGUGCUUUGGGAGCCCGAGAAGAGCCCCAGAGCAGCUGUUCCUGCACUGUGUGAGCCACUACAUCUGUCCUGCUGCAAACACAGGGAUUGACUGCAAGAGACAAGAUGCACAGCCUGAAAUGAUACUGUAAAACAUCUUUAUUAGCUCAUCGUAGGACUGGAAGGACAAAAGCUUCCAGGUAGAACUCUGUCCAAUGAAAAAGACUCACAGGAAAAA